GACGAACGCUGGCGGCGUGCUUAACACAUGCAAGUCGAACGGAAAGGCCCUGCUUUUGUGGGGUGCUCGAGUGGCGAACGGGUGAGUAACACGUGAGUAACCUGCCCUUGACUUUGGGAUAACUUCAGGAAACUGGGGCUAAUACCGGAUAGGAGCUCCUGCUGCAUGGUGGGGGUUGGAAAGUUUCGGCGGUUGGGGAUGGACUCGCGGCUUAUCAGCUUGUUGGUGGGGUAGUGGCUUACCAAGGCUUUGACGGGUAGCCGGCCUGAGAGGGUGACCGGCCACAUUGGGACUGAGAUACGGGCCAGACUCCUACGGGAGGCAGCAGUGGGGAAUAUUGCACAAUGGGCGGAAGCCUGAUGCAGCAACGCCGCGUGCGGGAUGACGGCCUUCGGGUUGUAAACCGCUUUCGCCUGUGACGAAGCGUGAGUGGCGGUAAUGGGUAAAGAAGCACCGGCUAACUACGUG
rnacentral:rRNA from 1 species